GUCCACGCCCUAAACGAUGUCAACUAGUUGUUGGUAGAGUAAAAUCUAUGAGUAACGUAGCUAACGCGUGAAGUUGACCGCCUGGGGAGUACGGUCGCAAGAUUAAAACUCAAAGGAAUUGACGGGGGCCCGCACAAGCGGUGGAUUAUGUGGAUUAAUUCGAUGCAACGCGAAAAACCUUACCUGGCCUUGACAUGUACCGAAUUGAGCAGAGAUGUUCAAGUGCUCGAAAGAGAACGGUAACACAGGUGCUGCAUGGCUGUCGU
rnacentral:rRNA from 1 species